rnacentral:rRNA from 1 species
UACGGGGGGGGCAAGCGUUGUUCGGAAUUACUGGGCGUAAAGGGUUCGUAGGUGGCUUGCUAAGUCAGACGUGAAAUCCCUCAGCUUAACUGGGGAACUGCGUCUGAUACUGGCGAGCUUGGGUGCAGGAGAGGAACGCAGAAUUCCAGGUGUAGCGGUGAAAUGCGUAGAUAUCUGGAGGAAUACCGGUGGCGAAGGCGGCGUUCUGGACUGCAACUGACACUGAUGAACGAAAGCCAGGGGAGCAAACGGG